ensembl:lncRNA
UUAGUAGAGAGAGCAUGUGCUCCCUAAAAAUAGAACUUUUCAUCUAUGCGCUUCAGUUGAAAGCUACUGAGGACUGGACACAGUGGUUAGUCUUGGGACCAGUGCUAUUCAACAUCUUCAUCGCUGACACAGACGAUGGCAUCGAGUGCAUCCUCAGCAAGUUUGCAGAUGGACCUGGACAGGCUGGAGAACUGGGCCCAUGUGAAACUAAUGAAGUUCAACAAGGCCAAGUGCAAGGUAAAAGUGGAAAGGUACAUUUCACUACAUACCGAAUUUGUUGAUAUUUGAAGACACUGACAUUUACUCAAGAAUUCUUAUUGGAAAACAGAAAGCUUUUCAGAUGAGGUCUUCUCACAGGCAUGUGUUUAUGACUCGCUUCCAAAAAAAAAAAAAAAAAAGGAACAUGAAUACCAUUCAAAAAGUAUAGUAUUGAGGUGAUCCCUGGGAAUAUACAGUGCUUUUUUUUCCGAGGCCUCAUGUACAAAUCAUUCCACCUGGAAACUGUGCC